rnacentral:rRNA from 1 species
GAUGAACGCUAGCGACAGGCUUAACACAUGCAAGUCGAGGGGCAGCGUAAAAGUAGCAAUACUUUGGUGGCGACCGGCGCACGGGUGAGUAACGCGUAUGCAACCUACCUAUCAGAGGGGAAUAACCCGGCGAAAGUCGGACUAAUACCGCAUAAAACAGGGGCACCGCAUGGUGAUAUUUGUUAAAGAAAUUCGCUGAUAGAUGGGCAUGCGUUCCAUUAGGUAGUUGGUGAGGUAACGGCUCACCAAGCCGACGAUGGAUAGGGGAACUGAGAGGUUGGUCCCCCACACUGGUACUGAGACACGGACCAGACUCCUACGGGAGGCAGCAGUGAGGAAUAUUGGUCAAUGGGCGAGAGCCUGAACCAGCCAAGUCGCGUGAAGGAAGAAGGAUCUAUGGUUCGUAAACUUCUUUUGCAGGGGAAUAAAGUGCAGGACGUGUCCUGUUUUGUAUGUACCCUGAGAAUAAGGAUCGGCUAACUCCGUGCCAGCCGCCGCCGUAAAAC